rnacentral:lncRNA from 1 species
GGCAUAGUACUGAUAUAGCACCAAGACAUAUGUUCCCAAGAGAUGAAUAAUCUUAUAGCAUUUGAUAAUAUGGACACUUUAUUUAUGACUAAUUACAACUAUCCAAGCCCAGGAAUUUCUUGGAAGUAAGAUUUAUUUUGUUUGACAUGAAUUGUAUCUGAAACAUGAAAAAAAAAUAAUGCGAGGAAGGAUAAAAUAACAAAAGAAACUGGUUUGCAGUGACCAGUGCUGAAAUUAGGUUGUGCUAGGACUCGGUUAUGAUCAAUUUUCAAGUUAUUAGUUUGUUGCAAAUCCAUUCCAUUUAUCAACACGAUUAGGAUAGGUUCUUGAGAGCCUUCCUGUAAGCCUUGAAAUUGUCA